CACGUAGGGCGCAAGCGUUGUUCGGAAUUACUGGGCGUAAAGAGUGUGUAGGCGGUGCUCUAAGUUCGGUGUGAAAUCUCCCGGCUUAACUGGGAGGGUGCGCCGGAAACUGGAGUGCUCGAGCGUGGGAGAGGAAAGCGGAAUUCCUGGUGUAGCGGUGAAAUGCGUAGAUAUCAGGAGGAACACCUGCGGUGUAGACGGCUUUCUGGACCAUUGCUGACGCUGAGACACGAAAGCGUGGGUAGCAAACAGG
rnacentral:rRNA from 1 species